rnacentral:rRNA from 1 species
UACGGGGGGGGCAAGCGUUGUUCGGAAUUACUGGGCGUAAAGGGUGCGUAGGCGGUCGUGCAAGUCGGAUGUGAAAUCUCAGGGCUCAACCCUGAAACUGCAUUCGAUACUGCGUGGCUAGAGUGCUGGAGAGGAGACUGGAAUUUACGGUGUAGCAGUGAAAUGCGUAGAUAUCGUAAGGAAGACCAGUGGCGAAGGCGAGUCUCUGGACAGCAACUGACGCUGAGGCACGAAGGCCAGGGGAGCAAACGGG